rnacentral:rRNA from 1 species
CCAGGCCCUACGGGCGCAGCAGGCGCGAAAACUUUGCAAUGUGCGAAAGCACGACAAGGUUAAUCCGAGUGCAACAUGCUGAAUGUAGCUUUUGGUAAAUGUAAAUAGUUUAUUGAAUAAGGGGAGGGAAAGUCUGGUGUCAGCCGCCGCGGUAAUACCAGCUCCCCGAGUGGUCGGGNCGAUUAUUGGGCCUAAAGCAUCCGUAGCCCGUUCUGUAGGUCUUAUGUUAAAAUCAAUUGCUCAACAAUUGAACUGCAUGAGAUACCACAAAACUAGGAGGCGGGAGAGGUGGACGGUACUCCACGGGUAGGGGUAAAAUCCUCUGAACCGUGGAAGACCACCAGUGGCGAAGGCGGUCCACCAGAACGCGCUCGACGGUGAGGGAUGAAAGCUGGGGUAGCGAACCGGAUUAGAUACCCGGGUAGUCCCAGCUGUAAACGAUGCAAGCUAGGUGAUGCAUCAGCCACGUGUUGAUGCAGUGCCGCAGGGAAGCCGUUAAGCUUGCCGCCUGGGGAGUACGGUCGCAAGGCUGAAACUUAAAGGAAUUGGCGGGGGAGCACCACAAGGGGUGAAGCCUGCGGUUCAAUUGGAGUCAACGCCGGGAACCUUACCAGGAGAGACAGCAGAGUGAAGGUCAAGCUGAAGACUUUACCAGACAAGCUGAGAGGAGGCGCAUGGCCGUCGACAGCUCGUGCCGUGAGGCGUCCUGUUAAGUCAGGCAACGAGCGAGACCCUUGCCAUUAAUUGCUUCCAUCGAUCGAAAGGUUGGCGGAGCUAGUUAAUGGGACUGCCGUUGAUAAAACGGAGGAAGGAAGGGGCCACGGCAGGUCAGUAUGCCCCGAAACUCUUGGGCCACACGCGGGCUGCAAUGGUAGGCACAAUAGGUACCGAAUUCGAGAGAAUGAGGCAAUCCCAAAAUCCUACCCCAGUUGUGAUUGAGGGCUGCAACUCGCCCUCAUGAAUCUGGAAUCCCUAGUAACCGCGUGUCAACAUCGCGCGGUGAAUACGUCCCUGCUCCUUGCACACACCGCCCGUCGCUUCACCCGAGUUGGGUUUGGAGGAGAUAGUGUCUCAUUGACAUUAUCGA